rnacentral:rRNA from 1 species
UACGAAGGGUGCAAGCGUUAAUCGGAAUUACUGGGCGUAAAGCGCGCGUAGGUGGUUCAGUAAGUUGGAAGUGAAAUCCCCGGGCUCAACCUGGGAACUGCCUUUGUGACUGCAAGGCUAGAGUACGGCAGAGGGGGGGUGGAAUUCCGCGUGUAGCAGUGAAAUGCGUAGAUAUGCGGAGGAACACCGAUGGCGAAGGCAACCCCCUGGGCCUGUACUGACGCUCAUGCACGAAAGCGUGGGGAGCAAACAGG